AAGAUUUUGGAUUUGCUCAUAAUGAUCAAAUUAUAUCCGGUCUUGUUUCUACUUUUCCAGUCAUUUUAGAUACAAUUUUUAAAUAUUGGAUCUUUCGUUAUUUAAAUCGUGUAUCUCCUUCACUUGUGGUGAUUUAUCAUUCAAUGAAUGACUGAAAAAUUAUCGAACGGCCCAAUUAUAAUAUUUGUUACUUUGUACAUAAGCAAAACACUCAAAAUUGUACCUAUUCUUUCUACCCAGUAAAGGGGUUUCUCCAAUAUUUCAGAAAAAUUAUUUCAGUAAAUAUCAAAAUUAUAGAUAGGGAACUCUACUAGUGACCUACCUAAUUUUAUUGUAGAAAAUUUACGGGAUCAAUGAUUGGACCAUGCAAACUAAAAAAACCUUUUACGUCGAUAAAGAAAGAGAUUACUCGAUCCAUUUCCCUAUCGCUCAUCAUAUAUAUAAUAACUCAGGCACCCAUUUCAAAUGCCUAUCCCGUUUUUGCACAGCAGGGUUAUGAAAAUCCACGAGAAGCUAACGGGCCGUAUUGUAUGUGCCAAUUGCCAUUUAGCUAAUAAACCCGUGGAUAUCGAGGUUCCACAAGCGGUACUUCCGGAUACUGUAUUUGAAGCAGUUGUUCGAAUUCCCUAUGAUCUGCAAGUGAAACAAGUUCUUGCUAAUGGUAAAAAAGGAGCUUUAAAUGUGGGGGCUGUUCUUAUUUUACCCGAGGGAUUUGAACUAGCCCCGCCCGAUCGUAUUUCGCCCGAGAUUAAAGAAAAGAUAGGAAAUCUGUACUUUUCAAAGUUACCGCCCUACUAAAAAAAUAUUCUUGUGAUAGGUCCUGUUCCUGGUCAGAAAUAUAGUGAAAUCACCUUUCCUAUUCUUUCCCCGGACCCUGCUACUAAUAAAGAUGUUCACUUCUUAAAAUAUCCCAUAUACGUAGGCGGGAACAGAGGAAGGGGUCAGAUUUAUCCCGACGGGAGCAAGAGUAACAAUAAUGUUUAUAAUGCUACAGCAGCGGGUAUAAUAAGCAAAAUUAUACGAAAAGAAAAGGGGGGAUACGAAAUAACCAUAGUGGAGGCAUCGGACGGGCGUCAAGUGGUUGAUAUUAUCCCUCCAGGGCCGGAACUUCUUGUUUCUGAGGGCGAAUCCAUCAAACUUGAUCAACCAUUAACGAGUAAUCCUAAUGUGGGCGGAUUUGGUCAGGGGGAUGCAGAAGUAGUACUUCAAGAUCCAUUACGUGUCCAAGGCCUUUUGCUCUUCUUGGCAUCUGUUAUUUUGGCA